GAUAUAUUAGUUCGUUAGGGCAUUCACGAGUGAAGCGUGAAUCGUCUCCCACGGUUGUAUCCUGGGACUCGAUAUUCGUACAGUUCCGUCUCACUACAGAGCGAAUAUUCAGAGUUAAGAAAAUAGAUUGUAUCUCGACUCCAUGUCCGUUUCUGAAAAAGGUUUUGUUUUCUCGGUUUCCAUCCGAGUUUGAUAAUCGUUUCUUUCCUUAAAUCGCUUUAUUUAUUACAGUUAUUUCAAUUCGGUUUCCGGUUUUUAAAGAGUUGUUGGGUUUUGCAUUUCUCAUGUAAAGUUUCUUGAUUUCAACGCUCUGUCCAAGGCAAAGUGACGAAAAUGUUCAUUCCCCAGAGGAAGCAGUUUCCGGCGACCGACCGGAAGGGAAAGGUUGUAGCUUUGGCCGGAAAAAUCCCGACGCCUUCUCAGCCAAAGGGUCUAUUUAGAGCCGCCUCUGGUUCAAUGAUAUGAUGAAUGAUUAAAGGACGUUCAAAAAGGUUGGCUUUUCAGAACAAAAAAUAGGAAAACUUGAGAUGCUGGGAAAUAAUUUUAAACAUAUGGCACUGUCGAGAUAAUAUUGAUUCUUUUGGAGAAAGAAGGUUAGUGAUGAGGAGGUGGUAAGAGGGAAGUAGCGUUGGUAAAGACGUGUCGUUAGGGAGGUAUAGGAGAUACGAAAUGGGAUCAUUGUUUUUUAUGUUUUUCUGUGGUAUUCUUUUCUAUUGAAUUUAAGUGUAAAUUUAUUUUUCCAAUAACUCACAAUAAUCUUAGAUAUAAAUUAUUGAUGAAAUCCAUAUUUUCCAAUAAGGAGAGUUUUGAUAGGAAUUUUACAAAUACCAUAUCCAAUAAGCAUGGAUUUGUUAAAACUUUUACAAAUACUAUAUCCAAUAAGAGGGGAUUUGGGAAAAAACUAAAAAAGGUUCAAAUCCCUAAUACAAUAAGCCUCCCUUAAAAUACCAAGACCUUUAAAAAUAUAUUUACAAGUUAUCCCCGAUAAAACUAAAUAUUUACCUUAACAAGAUCACAUUUCAACUUGCACAAUAAGAAUUGACCAAUCCACAAUAAUUUAUCUUCAGCAUGUAAUAAGUGAAAACCACUCCUCAAAUAUGCAUACAAAUCUAAAUGUAUGAGAUAGCUCUGCCAAACCGCUCAUCACCGCUGCAAGUUGUAAUACUCCACUUAUAUGUGGGGUUAGGUAUUUGACUAUCUUUAAGUAAAAUAGUUAAGAUUGGUAAUACAAGGACUUAUUAGACAACUGAUGAGUAGGAUAACAAAGGAGGUGAUAAUUGUUAAGUGUUUUGUACCGGGUUGACCUAGGAACUUGAAUUUGGUGUGGAUGUGACCAGCAUAAACCACUCUUAGAGCAUGAUUAUUGGGGGUUCUUAGCGUGAGGUUCUUAUUCCGCUAAGAACCCCACGCUAAGAACCCCACCUUGAUAAUCAUGCUCUUAUAGUUUAUUUUUUGCUUUUUUUUUUUUUUGUAACACUGCUAAAACUCUUCAAAUACGGCUUCCUCUCUGUGAAGGAGGGGAUCCAAAGUUUUACACACAAACACUCAAAUACCAAAAGUAUACUUCCUAUUCUGAAGCUCCAAAUAGUUUUUUUUAUGAAAGCUGUAAGCAUAUAUCUGAUGAAGCUUCAAGGUAGCGUUUCUGCUAUAAAUUAUAUGCAUGUUCAAAUUAUAUAUCCAAGUAAAUAACAGGUCGUUAGUCUGCAAAGUUUGUUCAGUUCAAAGUUUUCGGUAUUAAACUUUAUGUUAUCUGUUUUAUGAUCAACUUAAAAAACGGUUUGUCUGACAAUUUCAGAAGAGAAUUGUUCAGUUCAAGUCUUACCAUCUACCAUGUGAUAUAUAUGAUUUGCUUAGUUUAUGAUGUAUUUUAAUCCAAAAUACUAUAUGGUUAUCGGCAUGGUCUUCAAGGGGAACCGGCUGUACACAAGAGAAAAGCUAAAGGAAAAAACAAUUUAAAUUAUUUAAUAAGAACAAAAAGGAUUAUGCGAUGGUGGAGCAUCUUAUCAUGUGGUUAAUUAAAUCCAAACUACUUUACUUCAAAGAUGUAACGUGAGUGGGUUCCUCCUUGGUGGCGAUGCCACAAUAGAGACAAUUAAUAACCCCCACUUUUAGUAAACUAUGUAAAACUAACCAAUUCAUAAGUUUUUACAGAAUUGUACAUCAUGAAGAUGGUCGGAGAGAACCAUUCAAAUCGUUCCACGGCGAUUUUAGGUAUAGUUUAUAUCUGUCAAAAAAAUUCAACGUUUAUAUAUAAAAAAAAAAUUGAGAUGCUAUUAAAAAUCUCAAUUUCCUAUACAACACUUAAACGUGUUUUCUAUUUUAACAUUUAUUUAUUUUAUUUUUAUAAAUUAUAAAAAUUAUUAUAUCAAAAGCUUACAACCGAUAGUUACAUCUGUAUUAUAAAAUAAAUAUGUCUAUCGAUUAUAUUUGUACUAUUCUGAAUUGUAUUAUGUAAAUAUACACUUGACAAUAAUUUUAUUUAUAUUUCGUUGAAGAUUUGGAGUAAAUUUUUUUAGUUAAUUUGUCGAUCCCCAAAACUUCUACAUCAAGAAUCCUAUACAAUAAAAAAAAAUUUCUCUCUUCUCCUUGGACCAUAAGAGCAAGAGAGGGUGGGCAAAAAUAGGACACGGGGACUCUUCUAAAAAAAUUUUUGUUUGUUUUCAUUUCGUUUUGUUAUGGCCCACUCCAUACUUUCGCUGUCUUUUCUUUUGUCCAAGCAAACCGUCGCUACUGUCCCGGUUCCGCUUCCCAUUCUCCUUUCGUCGCCGCCGUGACGUUAAGCAAAAAGGUCAAUAACUCUAGGAAUCCCACUAACUUUUCUUCAAUGCAUCUUCAAUUCUAGAACCGUCAUCUUCAUGUAAUAUAUAAACACGCUGUUUGAGAAGCUCAAUUGCAGGUAAGAAUUUUUUCUUUCUUCCACGACGUUCCUCCUUGGUUGGGAAGGGCGAAGAUCAUCUCCAAGCUCAUCCUUUUAUGGGAACCUCUCCGGAUUGAUAUUGAGAUGUUAUUCAUCGACAAACAAAACUACUGAAGUCGAACCAACUCCAGAAGAUAUAUAAAUGGACUAAGGAGAGGAAGAAACUGCAGAAAGUAACUUCAGACAAAUUAGAGGAUUUCCAAUAUUCUAGCUAACGGCCUUGAAGAACAAUGAUAUUACUUCUUUGGAGGGAACUGCAGCAGAAAAUCAUUCCAAAUCGAAGUUGAUCUCACAAAAAGAUUCUUCAGGUUGCAGAGUUUUAGGGGCCAUCAACUUUGACAUACACCAUAACAAGCCAGAAAUUGUAUGAUGAGUAAGUAUUUUCUGAAUCGAUUCAGAAUAACUUACACAUAAGACGGAUGCUUAUACGUUCGAAACAUCAACCACUGUAAGCUUAUGUGGCUUUGACGGCAGCGCCCGCCCCCUCAAGUGGUUCUAAGUACGGAGAUGUUCAGACAAUCCAGAUCGCGAUUGUGGCGGAGCUUAGCGCAGUGGUACAACACAUGUUAUUGGUGCAUUAAUAUGCCAAACUCUUUCAAUCUCCACUACUGCACCGUAACAAAAAGAAAAUCCAAGGAAACAAUAAUGGCUCAGAUAUAUUUGUGGUUUAAAGCAACAAAAUAAAAUUGUGGUCUUAGUAUUUUGAAAUUCCACGUUAUUAUACUUCUACUAAAAUUAUACUAUUAUUAUUGUUAUAAUUUUGUUUUAAAAGAAGAACUUAAAAA